GGUAAGGUGGCUCAGUGGUAGAGUGCUUGCCUUGCAUGCAUGAGGCCCUGGGUUCGAUUCCUCAGUACCA
rnacentral:tRNA from 1 species